rnacentral:rRNA from 1 species
UUAUGAAGCCAUAUACCAUCUUGAGAACGCCACAUUUACUCUGAUGUCUGAAGCUAAGAAGGAUUGGGUCUGGUUAGUACUUGGAUGAGACACCGCCGGGAAUACCAGAUGCCACAGU